rnacentral:rRNA from 1 species
GUGCCAGCAGCCGCGGUAAUACGUAGGGGGCGAGCGUUGUCCGGAUUUACUGGGCGUAAAGCGCGUGUAGGCGGUCUAUCAAGUCCGGGGUGAAAGGCGGGGGCUCAACCCCCGAGCUGCGCCGGAAACUGGUAGACUUGAGUGUCGGAGAGGGGAGUGGAAUUCUCGGUGUAGCGGUGAAAUGCGUAGAGAUCGAGAGGAACACCCGUGGCGAAGGCGGCUCCCUGGCCGAACACUGACGCUGAGACGCGAAAGCGCGGGGAGCGAACGGGAUUAGAUACCCCCGUAGUCC